GUAAGACAGGUAAUCGCGGCUGUCAGGACCGAAAGGGGACAGGCGAGGAAAGUCCGGGCUUCAUAGGGCAGGAUGCCGGAUAACGUCCGGUGGAGGUGACUCCAAGGCAAGUGCAACAGAAAUAUACCGCCUGUGCAUGCAGGUAAGGGUGGAAUGGCAGUUUAAGAGACUACCGCUUCUCUGGUAACAGCGAAGGCAGAUGUAAACCCCAUCCGAAGCAAGACCGGAUAAAGACGAUGUGGCGGCCCGUCACGUCUUAGGUAGGUCGCUUGAACCUGCCGGUAACGGCAGGUCUAGAAAGAUGAUUACCCAACGACAUAACCCGGCUUAUCGUUUUGCUUG
rnacentral:RNase_P_RNA from 1 species